GUGGGGAAUAUUGGGCAAUGGGCGCAAGCCUGACCCAGCAACGCCGCGUGAGGGAAGAAGGCUUUCGGGUUGUAAACCUCUGUCCUUGGUGACAAAACAAAUGACGGUAGCCAAGGAGGAAGCCCCGGCUAACUACGUGCCAGCAGCCGCGGUAAUACGUAGGGGGCGAGCGUUGUCCGGAAUUACUGGGCGUAAAGGGUGCGUAGGUGGCCUUUUAAGUUGGAUGUGAAAUACCCGGGCUUAACUUGGGGGGUGCAUCCAAAACUGGGAGGCUAGAGUGCAGGAGAGGAAAGCGGAAUUCCUAGUGUAGCGGUGAAAUGCGUAGAUAUUAGGAGGAACACCAGUGGCGAAGGCGGCUUUCUGGACUGUAACUGACACUGAGGCAAGAAAGCGUGGGGAGCAAACAGGAUUAGAUACCCCAGUAGUCC
rnacentral:rRNA from 1 species